GAUGAAGAACGUAGCGAAAUGCGAUAAGUAAUGUGAAUUGCAGAAUUCAGUGAAUCAUCGAAUCUUUGAACGCACAUUGCGCCCGCCAGUAUUCUGCGGGCAUGCCUGUUCGAGCGUCAUUUCAACCAUCAAGCCCUGCUUGCGUUGGGGUCCUGCGGCUGCCCGCAGGCCCUGAAAACCAGUGGCGGGCUCGCUAGUCACACCGAGCGCAGUAAUACAUCUCGCUUUGGGCGUGCGGCGGGUUCUUGCCGUUAAACACCCCCUUUUUACCAAGGUUGACCUCGGAUCAGGUAGGAAUACCCGCUGAACUUAAGCAUAUCAAUAAGCGGAGGA
rnacentral:misc_RNA from 1 species